GAUGAACGCUGGCGGCGUGCCUAAUACAUGCAAGUCGAGCGAACGGACGAGAAGCUUGCUUCUCUGAUGUUAGCGGCGGACGGGUGAGUAACACGUGGAUAACCUACCUAUAAGACUGGGAUAACUUCGGGAAACCGGAGCUAAUACCGGAUAAUAUUUUGAACCGCAUGGUUCAAAAGUGAAAGACGGUCUUGCUGUCACUUAUAGAUGGAUCCGCGCUGCAUUAGCUAGUUGGUAGGGUAACGGCUUACCAAGGCAACGAUGCAUAGCCGACCGGAGAGGGUGAUCGGCCACACUGGAACUGAGCAACGGUCCAGACUCCUAGGGGAGGCAGCGGUAGGGAAUCUUCCGCAAUGGGCGAAAGCCUGACGGAGCAACGCCGCGUGGGUGAUGAAGGUCUUCGGAUCGUAAACUCUGUUAUUAGGGAAGAACAUAUGUGUAAGUAACUGUGCACAUCUUGACGGUACCUAAUCAGAAAGCCACGGCUAACUACGUG
rnacentral:rRNA from 1 species